CGCUAUGUAUCUCAAACGGAUAGAGAUAGUCAAGAUAGACGAAGGUGCGGGUUCGAGUCCCGUCAUAGCGA
rnacentral:tRNA from 1 species